AAAGUGUGUUGCAUAAUAAAAAUAACAAUUAAGAAAAGAAAAAAAUCUGGCCUCUGGACACAAGCCUCUAUGGUCAUUUUCUGACCCCUGCUCACCCAGCCCUCAGGGAGAUGUGCAAAGACAGGCGAUUAAAGGGGAGAAAAGGAGGCGAGAAGGGGUGGCCGUGGGCGAGGAGGGGUGGCUGGCAGGCGCCGAGGUGCGAUGGCCCCACCGAGGCCACUCAUUGUGCGCGGCACGGCGAGCCGGCGCUCCGGUGCCAGCCACGAAAACAAAUGCCUUCCCGCUGUCUCCUGGAAAUGCUUCCACCGCUCCUGCUGAGCCAAAAAAAAUUUAAAAAAUGGAAUAAUCCCCUUAAUCGGGAGCGGACGGGAGGACACCUGCCUUGGACACAAGACCGAUGGGGCAGCCCAGGAGGCACAGCUAGAGACGGCUUUGGCUUUGGAGCUAGUCUUAGGAAAAGGGAUCCUUCUGCAAGGCUCCUUUCCCAGUGGACAGUCCAUGCCAGCUGUCUCGGCAGCAGGAACGUCCUUUUUUUCCCAAGCCUCGACCUGUGGGAAAAUCUUCAUUGGCCAGUAAUUGAUUCCACCCUGCCAGCUCC